AUUUGUCGGAGAUUGCUGGCUGUGAGAGGGCGCCCAGCUCCAGGCGAUUGUGGUCACCGGCUCCUCAGCAUUUGGGGAUUGAUCGCCAACAGAGGCUCUCCUCGAGCUCUCUGGCGCCUGCAUUUUAUUCCCUUUAUUUCUUCCCCUGUUUCCUCUGAACUCAGUAGGCAUUCUUCUAAUUUCCUCCAGACCCGGUUCAUAGCACUCAUUUAUGUUUAAGUUGAGGCUUUGAUAAGUUUUCCUCUUCUUGCUAAGCUUGAUCGCUUGGCAUUGGCGAAGAAAGGCCCCGGAUUAUAUCGCCCAAUUCCUGAUUUAAAACACCUUGUGGCGUGCUUGAGUAGAGUAUAUUGGUCUCAGAUGGCAGAAUGUAUCCCUCAAAGCCCGGCGGGAUGGUUGGGCUUGAUUGAGCAGAGCCCACAACCCCAUACUGAGGCGCCUGACAUUAGGGUUAAGUGGACAGAAGUAUUCUCCCUCUUCCAUCUCCUCGGGACCAGACCUGAGCGCAUCGCUUGUUGUCCUCUGGUAAUCGGGUCAGUAACUCUUCAAGCCUGUGCGUAUCCCAACUCAAGUAGGUGGCCUGGCUGGAUCCUCCUCCCACAGUCAGCUGAAGGGACGACGAUCUAUCCGUUAUAGCCGCAGGAGUGAGCUCGCUGGAUCCUCGAUUAUCGUGCAGAAGAUGGGGUCCUCUCUCCUCCGCUCCCCUUGAGGAGUGGCGUGUUCCUGCUCCGGCAGAAUGAUCGGUCUGAGUCGAGAUAAGUUCCUAGGAGCAGAUCCCGCCUUGAUGGAGUGUUUGUAUAUCCCUGGAAGAUCACCUCUCCCUCCUUGCUGGAUCUCUGCUCCCCUCGUCUCGCAGUUGUACUCCGUAUGCCCCAUCUUCCCGCAGAAGAGGCAAUAAUCGGUGAUCUUCUCAAACUUAAACUCAAUCAGUUCUUUCUCUCCCGUUGGUAGUUCUCCAAUGACCUGUAGCGGCUCGUGCACACGAACCUCGGCAAACAGUCGUAUAAAACGCCUCCAUUUGACUUGUUCCAGCCCUUCCCGGUCGCAUUUGAUGUACCGGAAGUAAAGGUUUCCCACCACCUCUAUGUUGUUACUCGAUUUGUAGGACUAAGGCAUGUUGUGGAUGUGGAUCCACAUAUCAGCAGAGUUGAAGUCGAGGCUUUUUGGCUCACCUCUGCCUUCCCAUCUUUUCAGGUUGAGGAAAGAGUUAGCGAUUGCCCAGGGCCCGCUUAUCCCAGACGAAUUUCCUUUGGCUCUCCUUGCUGAAGGCGAACACAAAGAUGUUGCUACCCUCGUUCCUGAUGUCCACCUCUCCUGCGUCAGACCAGGGGAUGCGAGUUGCCCCUUUCAUCGUACUUGUGGAGAAGUUUCUUGGAGACAUCAUGCGACCCACCAGCAUGAAGGAGCCAGUGUUGCCUCUGUUUGCUAUCGGGAUCAGGGCUGGGGUGGUUCCUGGAUUAAUCCUGAGAUUAUGGGCUUGAUUGAGCAGACGAUCCAUGGUGUUCAAAUAGGUGUUUUUAUGGUUUAGGUAAGGUUUCAGAUCACGCCAGUAAGAGUAUUCAAAACGAUGAAUUAAGAACAAAGUGUUAUCCGGGCUCUCUAUGUCGCCAACGUCCGCUGCCUGAAUUGUUCAAAAUAUUGUCUGAUUUUGCGGAGGCAAUGCAGCUAGCUAUUCACCUCGUCCACCCUUGACAUCCGUGUCGGUCAACUGCGUCGCACCUUGUUUCGCGCCGUACCGUUGGUGUCGUGUCACACACCCCUCGUUUGGAUAACAGCGCUACUACACAUGGGAGGGGCUACAUAUGAACACACCACUACUAGUCGAUGUAGCUCAACGAAAUCUAGCUUUUUUGUUGGGCCAACAAGACUGUUGACUGAAUUUACAUUUUGCCUUGGGUCUCUUUCCCACUAUUUAAAUUUAAAUAAUUCAAAUUUUCUCUUCUUUCACUGUCUCCAUUUUAUGUUUUCUUUUUAUCUCUCUCUAUCCAUUGUUAAUUAGUCACUUACGAUUUAUGCAUAGUCAACCAAGUUUGAUAUACUAACAAAAUGAUCACUCAAGUGUUUAUGGUAAGUGAUUCGGGGUCACUGAGCUGUUGAUUUAUGAUGGACAAGCAUAUAUCAUAGCUAUCGCCAAAUAAUACAACGAUUAAUCUACUUGACUUUGAGUUUGUCAUCUCACUGGUAAUGAUUAGUCAUGCAGGUAUGAGAGCGUCUCGCGAUUACCAUCAUAAAAUUUCACAUUGAUUCGUGGGAGAGAUCCAUAUGCUAUAAGGAAUAAUCCGGUCUAACUUAACAAUGCACAUUUUGAGGUGAAAUGAAGUGGCG
rnacentral:lncRNA from 1 species